AGAUAGUGAAGCUCUUACAAAAAAUUUUAUCUGAUUAAUAUAAUUUAUGCCUUUUUUAUAAUGAAAUGGCUGUUGUAUAUAAUGAUUGUAGUUGUUUAAGAGGAUGAAAUAAUUCUUUGGCAUAAUGUAAUUCAUAUCAUCUAUGUUGCUACAAUUCUGUUUCAAUACAAGACCAUCAUAUCAGUGUAAGAUUUCCUAUGUGGAGACUUGGUUUCUAAUCUUUGUGUAAUAUAAUACGGAGAAGCUCGUACUGUGAAUUUUGAUAAGUAUAAUUUAUUCUUCUAUUAGAUUGGAAUGGACUCGGUGUUUUCAUAUAGAAUGUUUCAUAUUCAAAGUGUUAGUUCGGUGUUUCAUAUUCAAAGAUGUUGAAGUUCAUACAAUGUAAUUAAUUAAUAGACUUAUCACACAGACUUUUUUAAUAGACUUAUUCUUGAAUUUUUGGCUCAGAUAUAAAGUUAUUAAUUAAAAACAGCAUUAGAAAAGCAAAACUGAUUAAAAGAACACUUCCUUUAUUUUUAAAAUUGAUAUAUUUAAAUGCUUUUGUUCAUAUAAAAACAACAAUAAACACAUUUCUAAAUAAUAAGAUUAUUAAGAAAAUUUGGAACAUUUAUAAAGGUUUGCAAGGACAACAUGAUCGAUUUUGUUAUAAAUCACAUGGUUUUGACAUGUUUUGAGUAUGCUCCUGCCAGAUUGGUAGAAGCCUGGUGAUCCUGUUAUGAACAAAUCUUAACAGAUAAAGAUAUAACAUGUGAAUAUAGAAUCUAAAGAAAAGGUAAGGUUAGAUUAGGCUAUUUGAAUAUGGCUAAGCACAUUGGUUAUCAGCCUGAAGAACUUUAUAGGGAAAACUGGUUCGUAUUCACAAAACACAUGCAAAAAAAUAAAAACUGCACAGCCAGCUUGUUCACCAGGAUUUGAGCUGAGAUUAAACUACCAGUAUUGAGUUGUUUAAACCACUUGUAGGACAAAACUAAAGAAAAUGCUUGUAAUAUCAUGUAAUCAAAAGUUAACUGCAUGUUAUAUGCCACAAUUGCUUUCUCAAGUACUGAGGUAGGUUAUACUUAAUCUGCUUUUUUUUUUUUCUUUUGAAAUGUUUGGUCAUGGUAUUAUUCAUUGCAUGUAUUUUCUAUAAUACAUACAGAAUAUUAAUAGUUCUAUAACAAGUGUCUUUUUUUCAUUUUUAAGUGCUUUGCUUGUUGAUAUUCUCAAAAUUGCAUUUGAUGAUUAGUGCUAUCAUGUGUAUAAUAAAUACAAUAGAUGCAUAUAAUAGAUCAAUAUAUUUUUAGUAUACAUAUAAUGAUUCAAUAUCAUUUUUAUGGGGAAAAAAAAGACACUUUUGACUGCACAGAUUUUCUAGAAAUCCCAAGUAAAACACAUAUGAAAUCAUUUGUUUACAAUCAGUGAACGUUAAAAUCAGCUACCUGUCACAAUACAAUAAAACAGCGACACAAUUUCCUACAACAGCCAGCAGUUCCUCCUUUACAUGAACAAGAAUUUUUUUUUUUUAAAAUUUUUAUUUGUCCUUUUUGAACAAUGAAAUGUCCUUCGAUUUCAUGCGAUCAGGACGCUAUAGAACUUAUCCUUAAAUAGAAAGCCAAAACUUGUACAUUGGAUUUCAAGUAAAAUUCCGUGCAUUACCAAAUGAUCAGCUUUUUAAAAUGCUCUCUGCUUCAGUAAUACAGCGAGAAUUUACGCCUCCUUGAACAAAAUCAAACAUUUCGGAAGAGCUAAGUAACUCCAUUUUUGAAUGUACGAAGUCAGAUCACAAAUCAAAAUACCGAGUUUUAUCCGCCAUACUAAUGUGUGAAAGCGCCAUCUAUAGGUGAAUUGAAUCGCGGAUA